GCCUGAGUCAUUCUAUCCCCAGAUCCUUACAUGGCUGGCUCCUUCUUGCCAUUCAGGUCUUGGUUAUGAGAGGCCUUCCCUGCCAGUCAAAUCUAAUCUAAAGCUACCACUGUGUUUUUUCUGUCAGUAACUGGAAUGAUUUUCUUUAUUAAUUGCUUACUUGCUUGUAUAUUUCUUCCCUCUAAAGUGUAAGCUCUAUCACAGCAGGGAUCUAUACUGUUUUAUUCACUAUAAUAUAUCUCCAACUUCUAGGAUACAGCUGGCACAUAGAAGACGAUCACUAAAUAUUUAUUGAAUUAAUGACACAUAUCAUUAAGGAGAAAAGUUGACCAGGCGCAGCGGCUCACGCCUGUAAUCCCAGCACUUUCAGAGGCCAAGCAUUAUUGUGGUAAUAGAUAAUGAAUACAAGAAUCAAAGGGAAGGAUGAGUAUUCUGG
rnacentral:antisense_RNA from 1 species